UCGUUACAAAGGCGGCAGUUGCCGUUUUGGUUAUCCACGAACAUGCUAGACAUUUUGUUCCUUGUGGCUUCUCUCUAGAAUUCCGGAUUCGUUCGAUUUUUGCUGGUUCGCGUUUUAGUCCUCUGGUGAGGUUUAAAGUGGUCAAUUCGACCGCCUUCUUUUCGGUUCUCUAGCACGUCCUCGCAAGGAUCGUGCCCGUUGUCCUCUUCCUGGGGUUUCCAGUGGUCGAUUCGACGCCUUCCGGCUCUCUAGCACGUCCUCGCAAGGAUCGUGCCCGUUGUCCUCUUCCUGGGGUUUCCAACGGUCGAUUCGACGCCUACUUACCGGUUCUCUAGCACGUCCUCGCAAGGAUCGUGCCCGUUGUCCUCUUCCUGGGGUUUCCAAUGGUCGAUUCGACGCCUUCCGGCUCUCUAGCACGUCCUCGCAAGGAUCGUGCCCGUUGUCCUCUUCCUGGGGUUUCCAACGGUCGAUUCGACGCCUACUUACCGGUUCUCUAGCACGUCCUCGCAAGGAUCGUGCCCGUUGUCCUCUUCCUGGGGUUUCCAACGGUCGAUUCGACGCCUUCCGGCUCUCUAGCACGUCCUCGCAAGGAUCGUGCCCGUUGUCCUCUUCCUGGGGUUUCCAACGGUCGAUUCGACGCCUUCCGGCUCUCUAGCACGUCCUCGCAAGGAUCUUGCCCGUUGUCCUCUUCCUGGGGUUUCCAACGGUCGAUUCGACGCCUUCCGGCUCUCUAGCACGUCCUCGCAAGGAUCGUGCCCGUUGUCCUCUUCCUGGGGUUUGCAACGGUCGAUUCGAUGCCUUCCGGCUCUCUAGCACGUCCUCGCAAGGAUCGUGCCCGUUGUCCUCUUCCUGGGGUUUCCAAUAGUCGAUUCGACGCCUUCCGGCUCUCUAGCACGUCCUCGCAAGGAUCGUGCCCGUUGUCCUCUUCCUGGGGUUUCCAACGGUCGAUUCGACGCCUUCCGGCUCUCUAGCACGUCCUCGCAAGGAUCUUGCCCGUUGUCCUCUUCCUGGGGUUUCCAACGGUCGAUUCGACGCCUUCCGGCUCUCUAGCACGUCCUCGCAAGGAUCGUGCCCGUUGUCCUCUUCCUGGGGUUUCCAACGGUCGAUUCGACGCCUACUUACCGGUUCUCUAGCACGUCCUCGCAAGGAUCGUGCCCGUUGUCCUCUUCCUGGGUUUCCAAUGGUCGAUUCGACGCCUUCUUACCGGUUCUCUAGCACGUCCUCGCAAGGAUCGUGCCCGUUGUGACACCUUUCUUAGUAUCGCAACAGCGAUUAUUUUAAAUUGAUGACUCAGCGUUGAGCGCGUAUUUCAACAGAACACUUUCCAACACUUUUCUUCUGCGAAUCUUCUUAUGGUCGUUUAGGCCUGACCAUUCCUUCCACCGAUUUCGAAACUCGUUGUACAAACACCUUUUCCCUAGGUGUGUUUUCCCAGAGAACUAGUUCAAAAGACCCUGUUUCGCACAGUUCUUGUUUAGCCACUGGCCUUUCGGCCCACUGCUUGUAAUUGUCGGUGUUUUUCACUUCGUCGAACUUCGCGUCAAUCUCGCGGAAGUAUUCGACGAGCUCAUCGAUCUCUCGCGUGAGAUCUGACAUUUCACUCAACUAAACACUACAGGAAUUUUCUUCUGGUUACUCUUUAGGCGGUAACCACACCUUGCUUUUAACCGCAACGAAAACGCGCGACGUUGUGGUUCCUCACUCGGGGCACCAUGUAAACGGCCCGCGUGAUUUUCUUUAUGGCCGGAAUCCGCGCGUCGACUCUAGCACGAUCUCGCGGUGUUUACUCGAUCUUACCGACAACUGGUAGACGCCAACUGAGUGCGUUUCCCCAAUCUUCCCCUUCGGACUGACAGGCUGGGUGGCUGACCCAGUACCUGCUGGCGGAAGGUUCGACUAGAGAACCGUGUCUCUUUAACAGUUAAGCACUGAUUCGUCGGAACGACACUCGCCAGGCGAGUGGUCCGCAACCGAAGGAAGCGAGUGUUUAACCGUUGUUACGGCGGUUCAACAACAGAGGAGAACCAGUCGUGGAUAUUUCCUCUUGUUUUUCCCUUCAGACGGACAGGCUGAUGUUUUAACCAGUACCUGACAGUGGAAGGUUCCAAUAGGGAGCUCUCUCUCUUAACGAUUGAAAGCUGACUCGUCAGAACGACACCCGCCAGGCGAGUAGUCCGCAACCGAAGGAGUCGAGUUUGCAAUCGUUGGUGAUAACCUUAGUGGUUGGACUUACCAGGAAUUUCUCUCUAGAAAGACAAGUUGCCUGUUCCGAGUCUAAACGUAAGAUCAUGUAUUUCGUGGUUGGUUCUGGGUUUUUAUAGGCGACUUUCGUCGAUCUGGGGGACUUAUUCUAAGAAGUGACAAAUGCAGUUCUAUCGUAGGUCCUAUUGAUUCUUAAAGUUAGAAAGGGACAAUUGUCGUGAUUGCCUAAAUCUAAUUUUCUCCCA
rnacentral:lncRNA from 1 species